AUUUGGUGUUGAGGGCAUUUGAUACAUAAUUUCUUGAAUCUCUCCCAGUAAUCAUAGAGUAACUCUCCUGGAUGUUGCCUGACACCGCAUAUCUCCUUUCUCAGAAC